GGCUCAGGACGAACGCUGGCGGCGUGCCUAACACAUGCAAGUCGAGCGGGACAUGCGACGGAGGCGAAGUACUCGUACGGAGUCAAAGAUGUAAUGUUCUAGCGGCGGACGGGUGAGUAACGCGUGAGCAACCUGUCCCUUACAGGGGGAUAACACAGCGAAAGUUGUACUAAUACCGCAUAAGACCACAGGAUGACAUCGUCCAGGGGUCAAAGGAGCAAUCCGGUAAGGGGUGGGCUCGCGUCCGAUUAGAUAGUUGGUGAGGUAACGGCCCACCAAGUCGACGAUCGGUAGCCGACCUGAGAGGGUGAUCGGCCACAUUGGGACUGAGACACGGCCCAAACUCCUACGGGAGGCAGCAGUGGGGAAUAUUGGGCAAUGGGGGGAAACCCUGACCCAGCAACGCCGCGUGAGGGAAGAAGGUUUUCGGAUCGUAAACCUCUGUCCCAGGUGAAGAGGAAGAGACGGUAGCCUGGGAGGAAGCCCCGGCUAACUACGUGCCAGCCGCAGC
rnacentral:rRNA from 1 species